rnacentral:rRNA from 1 species
GGUUAAGCGACUAAGCGUACACGGUGGAUGCCCUGGCAGUCAGAGGCGAUGAAGGACGUGCUAAUCUGCGAUAAGCGUCGGUAAGGUGAUAUGAACCGUUAUAACCGGCGAUUUCCGAAUGGGGAAACCCAGUGUGUUUCGACACACUAUCAUUAACUGAAUCCAUAGGUUAAUGAGGCGAACCGGGGGAACUGAAACAUCUAAGUACCCCGAGGAAAAGAAAUCAACCGAGAUUCCCCCAGUAGCGGCGAGCGAACGGGGAGCAGCCCAGAGCCUGAAUCAGUGUGUGUGUUAGUGGAAGCGUCUGGAAAGGCGCGCGAUACAGGGUGACAGCCCCGUACACAAAAAUGCACAUGCUGUGAGCUCGAUGAGUAGGGCGGGACACGUGGUAUCCUGUCUGAAUAUGGGGGGA